rnacentral:rRNA from 1 species
CGGGAUGGACGUACCUCUGGUGUACCAGUUGUCCUGCCAAGGGCAUGGCUGGGUAGCUAUGUACGGAAUGGAUAAGCGCUGAAAGCAUCUAAGCGCGAAGCCAACUUCAAGAUAAGAUUUCCCACCGAAAGGGUAAGACCCCAGAAAGACUAUCUGGUUGAUAGGUCGAAGGUGUAAGUGCAGCAAUGUAUUUAGCUUAUCGAUACUAAUAGGUCGAGGACUUGACCAAU